GGGCGGAGGAACCAGGCUGGCUUUGCAGCGCCUUUGCAGCGGAGAGGAUAAUCCAACGGGGCGGCAGCGGCGGAGCAGAGCUCGGAAACGGAGGCAGAAAAUGCGCCCAAUCUGAUGGUGUACUUGCUGCAAAGAAAGCCCUGCAGAAUCCACUGCCAUCUACUAUCAAGUAAAUCCACCCAGGAGUAUAGCAGACCUGUGUUCAUCCUCACCAUAGUCUUGUGACCCAUGUCUGCCGUUUGGCUUCAGGUCGGACAGUGUGGCAACCAGAUCGGACAGGAAUGGUGGCAAGCCAUCACCCAGGCCAGAAGCAGAGAUGCCGA